AGAAUGCUGCUGCUCCAGGCUCAGCCAAGCCCAGGCACCAAUGAGGGUAGAGUGCAGCCUGGCUGCCUUGCCUUGCCACUGCAGUGGCGCCAGUGCACCUCCUUUUUGCUGUGACACCUUGGGAGUGGUAAAAGUCGCCCUAUGACAAAGUUAAGUGCGAGUACGAGUGGGUGGGGACAGUUCUGGGAUCAGGCUCCGGAAUGGAGAAGACAAAAUCUGAGCCGCCUCCUUUUCCUCCCCUAAUCUAACUGCCAAGAUAAUGGAGAGCUCAUGUGUAAAAGACUCUGAGGAAAGAGUACUGUAAUUUUCUUCAGAGUCAGGUGGUGGUAGUAGAUGAGGAAGCUGGGGAGAGAAAUAAACAAUUUGCUUUGUCUUCCGGGUUUUAGUGAUGAGAUCAGAAGUCUAGAUACCGGGUUCUAUUUCUUAAACGCAGUGCCCAUACAAAUGGACCUUGUAGCCCUCAGGUUAGGCUAGGUUAUACUGUGGUAACUGCUAAAACCUUAGUGAUUUACAACCACUUAACAUAGGUUUAGUUCUGGCUCUGCUCAUUCUGUUACUCAGAUACCAAAUCUGAUGAAUCUCACUAUUUUGAGGUCCUAUUGUGUCAUCAUGAGGCUUAAGGUUACCUCCUUCAGAAUGUAGAGCAAGCAGGAAGAAUUUGUCCCCCGAAGGGACAUGUGUUACUUGGUCAAAGCAAGUCAUAUAGCCACACUCAAGUUCAACGAAGUAGGGCCAGAUUCAGCCUAUACUCCUUCAGUUGCCAGUCUACACAUUACACAAAUAGACACCUGGGCACUGUGGCCUGUGCCUGUCAUCCCAGCUACUCAGGAAACAUUGCUUGAUGAGAAGAUAGCAAAGUCAAGACCAUCCUGGGCAGCAUGGCCAGACUCCAUCUCCAACAACAACAACAAAAGAACAAAAACGGCUGCAAGAGGGGACAGAGACUUGUCCUGUGUUGAUCGGUGUCUCCCAUCCACGCUGAUUCCUGCCAGAUCCCUGGCUGCUCCCUGACAGCGUUCAGCUUUGCUGCAAGGCACCCCAGCAACCACUGUUUCUUCUCCAUUCUUCAUCAGCUUGGCAGCCUCUGUGGCGGUCACUCAUUUCACUUGAAUUAGAGCUGCACAGAAAGAGGGGACUGUGACAAGGCUCCUGCUGACGUCAGUUUUUAAAGGCCACGACCCCUAUCUCUUGCUGUUAGGCCCUGGAGAUAUAACCGUGCUAUUUGGCUUCCUUCGUGGGCAGCUGAACUCUGUGGUGGUUGGAAAAAACCCCAUACUGAUGAAUUUCACCUUCAAUUCUUUGAGAUUCAGUCAUUUAUUUUGGCUUUGGAUACGUGUUUAUAAACAACUGACGAUGUUUUCCAAAUGAAUUCUCUUCCGUUUCUCGACCUGCUUUUUUGCAAGAUGGCUCAGGUUUUUGUGUCCAAGGGUGUGUCCUCUGCUGCCAUCUCGU
ensembl:lncRNA